rnacentral:rRNA from 1 species
GAUGAACGCUGGCGGCGUGCCUAAUACAUGCAAGUCGAGCGGAUUAAUGGGAGCUUGCUCCCGUUAGUUAGCGGCUGCCGGGUGCUUAACACGUGGGCAACCUACCUAUAAGACUGGGAUAACUUCGGGAAACCGGAUCUAAUACCGGAAUACAUAAAGGAACUCCUGUUCCUUUAUUGAAAGAUGGCUUAGGCUAUCACUUAUAGAUGGGCCCCCGGCGCAUUAGCUAGUUGGUGAGGUAACGGCUCACCAAGGCGACGAUGUGUAGCCGACCUGAGAGGGUGGUCGGCCACACUGGGACUGAGACACGGCCCAGACUCCUACGGGAGGCAGCAGUAGGGAAUCUUCCGCAAUGGACGAAAGUCUGACGGAGCAACGCCGCGUGAGCGAUGAAGGCCUUCGGGUCGUAAAGCUCUGUUGUUAGGGAAGAACAAGUGCUAGUUGAAUAAGCUGGCACCUUGACGGUACCUAACCAGAAAGCCACGGCUAACUACGUGCCAGCCGCCGCCGUAA